CAACGGGAAUGAAAUUUUUAACAUAUCUCUUCUUUUCCAAACUACUAAGAAAAAAAGUUUGGAAGAAGAGAAUAUUUAUAUAGUAGGAAAUAUUUUUUUAAAAAGCUCUUUAUGUUAAAGAAUUAAUAUUUGAAAAUAGAAGAUAGAUUUUAUUUCUUUGGAGAACAAAAAUAGGUUUUUUUGGGGUUCUGGCGAAGCCUGUGCCAGCCGCCGCGGUUAUACAGGCAGAAUAUAAUAUUUUAUUUAAAAAAAUAUUGUUGUUUUUAAAAAAUUGGAUUAAUUAGGUGAAAUUAUUAAUUGUUUAUUCUUUUUAGUUUUUUAAAAAUUUAUUUUAAAGAAUAGGAUUAGAUACCCUAUUAUUAUAAAAUGUAAGAUUGGUAGUAGCUUUUGUGUUGUUAAAUUUAAAGAUUAUGGCGGUGUUUUAAGCUUUUUAGAGGAAUUUAUUCUUUAAUUGAUAUGACUCAAGUAUCUUUCUUAAUUUUGUUAAGUCAGCUUGUAUAUCGCUAUCAUUUUUGUAAUGUUGCUGGACAAUUAUAAGGAUAAAUUUUUAUUUAUUAUGUUAGGUCAAAAUGCAGCAAAAAAUUAAGUUUGAAAUAAAUUACAUUAAUUUUUAUUGUUAAAGAGGAAGAAGAUUUUAGGAUUUAAUAGUAAAUUUUAAUUAUAAUGUUAAAUUGAAAAGAGCUCUGAAACAUGCACAUAUCGCCCGUCGCUCUCAAUUUUGAGAUAAGUCGUAACAAAGUAAAGGUACCGGAAGGUGUUUUU
rnacentral:rRNA from 1 species